UCGAACGGUAACAGGUCUUCGGACGCUGACGAGUGGCGAACGGGUGAGUAAUACAUCGGAACGUGCCCAGUCGUGGGGGAUAACUACUCGAAAGAGUAGCUAAUACCGCAUACGAUCUGAGGAUGAAAGCGGGGGACCUUCGGGCCUCGCGCGAUUGGAGCGGCCGAUGGCAGAUUAGGUAGUUGGUGGGAUAAAAGCUUACCAAGCCGACGAUCUGUAGCUGGUCUGAGAGGACGACCAGCCACACUGGGACUGAGACACGGCCCAGACUCCUACGGGAGGCAGCAGUGGGGAAUUUUGGACAAUGGGCGAAAGCCUGAUCCAGCAAUGCCGCGUGCAGGAUGAAGGCCUUCGGGUUGUAAACUGCUUUUGUACGGAACGAAAAGGCUCUGGUUAAUACCUGGGGCACAUGACGGUACCGUAAGAAUAAGCACCGGCUAACUACGUGCCAGCAGCCGCGGUAAU
rnacentral:rRNA from 1 species